rnacentral:rRNA from 1 species
AACGAACGCUGGCGGCAGGCCUAACACAUGCAAGUCGAGCGCGCCCUUCGGGGUGAGCGGCGGACGGGUGAGUAACGCGUGGGAACGUGCCCUUCUCUGCGGAAUAGCCUCGGGAAACUGAGAGUAAUACCGCAUACGCCCUUUGGGGGAAAGAUUUAUCGGAGAAGGAUCGGCCCGCGUUGGAUUAGGUAGUUGGUGGGGUAAUGGCUCACCAAGCCGACGAUCCAUAGCUGGUUUGAGAGGAUGAUCAGCCACACUGGGACUGAGACACGGCCCUGACUCCUACGGGAGGCAGCAGUGGGGAAUUUUAGACAAUGGGGGCAACCCUGAUCUAGCCAUGCCGCGUGAGUGAUGAAGGCCUUAGGGUUGUAAAGCUCUUUCAGCUGGGAAGAUAAUGACGGUACCAGCAGAAAAAGCCCCGGCUAACUCCGUGCCAGCCGCCGCGGUAA